GACUAAGCGUACACGGUGGAUGCCCUGGCAGUCAGAGGCGAUGAAGGACGUGCUAAUCUGCGAUAAGCGUCGGUAAGGUGAUAUGAACCGUUAUAACCGGCGAUUUCCGAAUGGGGAAACCCAGUGUGAUUCGUCACACUAUCAUUAACUGAAUCCAUAGGUUAAUGAGGCGAACCGGGGGAACUGAAACAUCUAAGUACCCCGAGGAAAAGAAAUCAACCGAGAUUCCCCCAGUAGCGGCGAGCGAACGGGGAGGAGCCCAGAGCCUGAAUCAGUGUGUGUGUUAGUGGAAGCGUCUGGAAAGGCGCGCGAUACAGGGUGACAGCCCCGUACACAAAAAUGCACAUGCUGUGAGCUCGAUGAGUAGGGCGGGACACGUGGUAUCCUGUCUGAAUAUGGGGGGACCAUCCUCCAAGGCUAAAUACUCCUGACUGACCGAUAGUGAACCAGUACCGUGAGGGAAAGGCGAAAAGAACCCCGGCGAGGGGAGUGAAAAAGAACCUGAAACCGUGUACGUACAAGCAGUGGGAGCACAGAGCAAUCUGUGUGACUGCGUACCUUUUGUAUAAUGGGUCAGCGACUUAUAUUCUGUAGCAAGGUUAACCGAAUAGGGGAGCCGAAGGGAAACCGAGUCUUAACUGGGCGUUAAGUUGCAGGGUAUAGACCCGAAACCCGGUGAUCUAGCCAUGGGCAGGUUGAAGGUUGGGUAACACUAACUGGAGGACCGAACCGACUAAUGUUGAAAAAUUAGCGGAUGACUUGUGGCUGGGGGUGAAAGGCCAAUCAAACCGGGAGAUAGCUGGUUCUCCCCGAAAGCUAUUUAGGUAGCGCCUCGUGAAUUCAUCUCCGGGGGUAGAGCACUGUUUCGGCAAGGGGGUCAUCCCGACUUACCAACCCGAUGCAAACUGCGAAUACCGGAGAAUGUUAUCACGGGAGACACACGGCGGGUGCUAACGUCCGUCGUGAAGAGGGAAACAACCCAGACCGCCAGCUAAGGUCCCAAAGUCAUGGUUAAGUGGGAAACGAUGUGGGAAGGCCCAGACAGCCAGGAUGUUGGCUUAGAAGCAGCCAUCAUUUAAAGAAAGCGUAAUAGCUCACUGGUCGAGUCGGCCUGCGCGGAAGAUGUAACGGGGCUAAACCAUGCACCGAAGCUGCGGCAGCGACACUAUGUGUUGUUGGGUAGGGGAGCGUUCUGUAAGCCUGUGAAGGUGUGCUGUGAGGCAUGCUGGAGGUAUCAGAAGUGCGAAUGCUGACAUAAGUAACGAUAAAGCGGGUGAAAAGCCCGCUCGCCGGAAGACCAAGGGUUCCUGUCCAACGUUAAUCGGGGCAGGGUGAGUCGACCCCUAAGGCGAGGCCGAAAGGCGUAGUCGAUGGGAAACAGGUUAAUAUUCCUGUACUUGGUGUUACUGCGAAGGGGGGACGGAGAAGGCUAUGUUGGCCGGGCGACGGUUGUCCCGGUUUAAGCGUGUAGGCUGGUUUUCCAGGCAAAUCCGGAAAAUCAAGGCUGAGGCGUGAUGACGAGGCACUACGGUGCUGAAGCAACAAAUGCCCUGCUUCCAGGAAAAGCCUCUAAGCAUCAGGUAACAUCAAAUCGUACCCCAAACCGACACAGGUGGUCAGGUAGAGAAUACCAAGGCGCUUGAGAGAACUCGGGUGAAGGAACUAGGCAAAAUGGUGCCGUAACUUCGGGAGAAGGCACGCUGAUAUGUAGGUGAAGCGACUUGCUCGUGGAGCUGAAAUCAGUCGAAGAUACCAGCUGGCUGCAACUGUUUAUUAAAAACACAGCACUGUGCAAACACGAAAGUGGACGUAUACGGUGUGACGCCUGCCCGGUGCCGGAAGGUUAAUUGAUGGGGUCAGCGCAAGCGAAGCUCUUGAUCGAAGCCCCGGUAAACGGCGGCCGUAACUAUAACGGUCCUAAGGUAGCGAAAUUCCUUGUCGGGUAAGUUCCGACCUGCACGAAUGGCGUAAUGAUGGCCAGGCUGUCUCCACCCGAGACUCAGUGAAAUUGAACUCGCUGUGAAGAUGCAGUGUACCCGCGGCAAGACGGAAAGACCCCGUGAACCUUUACUAUAGCUUGACACUGAACAUUGAGCCUUGAUGUGUAGGAUAGGUGGGAGGCUUGGAAGUGUGGACGCCAGUCUGCAUGGAGCCGACCUUGAAAUACCACCCUUUAAUGUUUGAUGUUCUAACGUUGACCCG
rnacentral:rRNA from 1 species